UACAGAGGUCCCGAGCGUUGUUCGGAUUCACUGGGCGUAAAGGGUGCGUAGGUGGUUAGGUAAGUCCGAUGUGAAAUCUCCAGGCUCAACCUGGAAAUGGCAUUGGAUACUAUUUAGCUUGAGGAGUGGAGGGGGGACUGGAAUUCUCGGUGUAGCAGUGAAAUGCGUAGAUAUCGAGAGGAACACCAGUGGCGAAGGCAGGUCUCUGGGCCACUACUGACGCUGAGAAGCGAAAGCAUGGGGGAGCGAACAGG
rnacentral:rRNA from 1 species